rnacentral:tRNA from 1 species
GGGGUGGUAGUGCAGUGGCAGCAUUCCUGGUUAGUGUGCCGGAGACCUGAGUUCGAUUCUUAGUCAUCCCU